AACGAACGCUGGCGGCAUGCCUAACACAUGCAAGCCGAACGAGACCUUCGGGUCUAGUGGCGCACGGGUGCGUAACGCGUGGGAACCUGCCCUUAGGUUCGGAAUAACUCCCCGAAAGGGGUGCUAAUACCGGAUAAUGUCUUCGGACCAAAGAUUUAUCGCCUUUGGAUGGGCCCGCGUUGGAUUAGCUAGUUGGUAGGGUAAAAGCCUACCAAGGCGACGAUCCAUAGCUGGUCUGAGAGGAUGAUCAGCCACGCUGGGACUGAGACACGGACCAGACUCCUACGGGAGGGAGCAGUGGGGAAUACUGGACAAUGAGCGAAAGCCUGAUCCAGCAAUGCCGCGUGAGUGAUGAAGGCCUUAGGGUUGUAAAGCUCUUUUACCCGGGAUGAUAAUGACGGUAACGGGAGAAUAAGCACCGGCUAACUCCGUG
rnacentral:rRNA from 1 species